GUUGAACUGGACAGUGGAGUCGGAGGAGUUCAGGACAUCAGUGGCAGUGUACGGAGCUGGAUUCUGUGCCACCUAGUAGAGGAGAUUGAGCAAUAUUAAUAUGAUGAGGGAAAGAGGAUCAGAUACAUAUUAGGAAAGGGUUUAGGGGGCAUAGCAGGUGAUGUGGAAGGAUAUCCACUGCAGGGUGGUUGAGGAGGAAAUAUGGGAUUAGGAGGUGGGUGAACAAUACUCUCACCUACAGCAGGGUAGGGAGGAGUAUAGUCCUGUAAAUCAGUAGCACAGGUACUGUAAGGCUAUACAAGCUUCAACACACAUUUAAUGGAUUUUGUUGUUUCUUUAGGUAAUGGGUAAUAGUUUCACAUUUUUUCCAUCUACUGCCAUUAGAUAGAUGGGGUUUAGUAUACAACAUUCUUUUUUCCCCCUUUUUUUAAACUUACUUUGUACUUAUUUUAUUCAAAUAAGUAACCAUUUAAAUGUUAUAUUUUUAACACUUUAACAGGUAGGAGUGUAAAAACAAAAUGAAAAAACAACUAUCAAAACAUUGAGACAUCUAUCUCUGCUGCCUGACUGAGAAUGGCAUCACUCAUGUCUGAGUCUGAAGAUCAUGCAGGGAUCUCCUUUACUCUCAUCCUCUCUCUCAUCCCUCCACUAUUACUCCUUUUACCAUAAAAUAGGGAUAGACUGCUUUGAAGCUCAAACUCAAAAUUCACAUAUUCUAUACAAUAAAGGAAAAUGCUGUCAGUCACAAGCACAUCAAUUAUACAAAAAACAGGAAGCAUAACCCUGCUAACAGCUUUAAAAUCCAAAGUCCAAUAAGGUUGUCAAACAGACAGGAUGCAAUUAAUUUGUUUGUCCUGUCCAAAUCAGAGUGAAAUACAAAAAUCCAAAUUUGAAAUAAAAUUUUUAAAAUGGCACAUUGGCUACGGAGUAUGUGAGAAGGGACAAAUAUUGGUCAGUUCAUACACUGACCAACGAAUGGCAUCGUAGGGGUAAACAUGCCAUGGUUCAGUUCAACCCAGGGUUGGCUGGGCAACAUAGGCCAUGAUCUCUGUGGCCAUGAGGGUGCGCCAAGGUCACUUGUCAUGGGUUACCAAAUUAACACUAACAUAACCCAUCCAUAAUAGUGAAUAGGAAAUCUUUUGGAACUUAACUCACAUACAUUUUGUAAACAUAAUAGUGGACAGGAUUAGACAAAACAAAGGCAGUGAGACAAUGCUGUGGUUUUCACAUCCUGUUUAUACCCUCUCUCGUGCACACCUGCACUCACACUGAUGCAUAAUCUGCGUCAAAUGUAGGGCUAGCAAUUGAGAUUUGAGAAAUAAAAAAAACAUGACUCUUGCACAAUCCUAUGUUGUGUUGUGUGCUGGUGUGUUACCGGUGGGGGGCCUGCAGGAGCCUGAGGAUUGACGUAGGCUGGUGGAGGUCCAGGUGGAUUAACUUGGUUGUCGAACUUCACAACAGUGGUGUUGGUGGUGGGUUGCCUUCGCUUUUUACAAUUCUUAUUUCUAAAGCAGCAGCAAAUACAGGGUGGUAUACCAAGCAAUAGCAGAAGAGCUGUCAGAGGACCUGUACUAAUCCCUUGAUGUUGAUCUAGAGAGAGAGAGAGAGAGAGAGAGAGGUGGGCAAACAUAAUUAUUACACAAACUGAAAUCCUCAAAAGAGGGGAAUUGGAUAUGGAAGAUGAUGAACCCUGUCAGUUACCUAUAGACCAUUACAUUUGCUUCUUUAUAAAAUUCCAUUCUUAACAUCAUGAACAUUAGUGAGAUCUUAGUUAAUUUUAUAUUAAUGUUAGAAUAAAGACAGUUUUACAAGAAUUUUAAAUAACUUCCUAUCUUACUGCCACUGGCGGAUUGUAUUUUGUCUUUGGAGUCAUCUAGCCUUUUUCUUUUCCUGUGAAGUGUUUUACACAUACCCACUGUCAAUCACUGUUAAUUCUAAAGCUCUUAACGUGUUUUUGACGUGUUUGAUGACGUGCCAAAUACCCUAGCACCCAGAGUGAGACGCGCGAAUGUCAUGACCUCCACUUCCAGCAGCGCCCUCGGAGUGAUGAUGGGGCGUGCGCAUGCAUGAGCUACGUGCACGAGCGCAUGCUCUUCGGAUGUUGACAACCGUGACAUUGUUUACUGUGGACACAUGCAUUUGUUUUGUUUCUGUUCCGGAGUAUUCUGUCACGUCGCGAGACGUAAGGGAGUAGAGUACGGAAGCAGGUAAAGACGUAUUUAUUAAAGGGAACAUAACAUUAACAACGUAUCUAACUAUACUCUAUCUACUUUAAUACUCCACGAGGUGUACAGGGUCACGAGCGGUAUAUAUCCCCAAUAUAAUCAGACGUCUAUAACCGAAUAGAACCAUUUUUUGCACUCGUCAAUGCACUUUUUUGUCGUAGGCUACAGAGUGUUAAAUUCUUUCAGCAGUCAGUUAUAGGCCUAACAUAGGCUAUUCGAGGGGGGCUCAAAGAUGACCACAUAAAAAUAUUUUUAUUUUACUAAUUUAUUUAUUUAAAGGUACAUUGUGCCUUGUUGGUAGCCUGUGCCUGCUGGAAUGGAAAAAAAAAUGUUCGGUGUUAAAUAAAUAUUUUGAAAUUGUG